UAACUUACGUCCGGCCGGACCGGCCGGCGACCGGGUGGAGUAACGACGUACGUCCAACCUACCCUUACGUAGGCGAUAGCCCGGCGAAAGUCGGAUUAAUACCCUAUGUUAUUCGUCGAGGACAUCUGAAAUGAAUCAAAGGUUUACCGCUAAGGGAUGGGGAUGCGUCUGAUUAGGUAGUAGGCGGGGUAACGGCCCACCUAGCCGACGAUCAGUAGGGGUUCUGAGAGGAAGGUCCCCCACAUUGGAACUGAGACACGGUCCAAACUCCUACGGGAGGCAGCAGUGAGGAAUAUUGGUCAAUGGGCGCGAGCCUGAACCAGCCAAGUAGCGUGCAAGGAUGACGGCCCUAUGGGUUGUAAACUGCUUUUAUGCGGGGAUAAAGUGCGGCACGUGUGCCGUUUUGUAGGUACCGCAUGAAUAAGGACCGGCUAAUUCCGUGCCAGCAGCUGC
rnacentral:rRNA from 1 species